rnacentral:sRNA from 1 species
GCGGGAGGAGCCCCAGGCCCGCGAGCGCAGGCGCCCCGCCUCUCCCAGGGCGCUGCGGGCCACCGGCUCGGCCCUGCGCGGCGGGAUCUCGGGGCCGCACGGAGCGGGAGGCCGGGCGCCAUGGCGAGGGCCCCGCAGCCCCGGCGCGGCCCCGCGGCGCCCGGGAACGCCCUGCGCGCCCUGCUGCGCUGCAACCUGCCCCCCGGCGCCCAGCGCGUGGUGGUCUCCGCCGUGCUGGCGCUCCUGGUUCUCAUCAACGUCGUACUGAUCUUCCUGCUGGCCUUCCGCUGAGCGGCCGCGCAGGGCGCCGCGCCGGGCUCAUCAGCGAUGGCAGUGUGGUCUGCGCUGAAGCACUCUGGGACCAUGUCACCAUGGACGACCAGGAGCUGGGCUUCAAAGCUGGGGACGUCAUCGAAGUGAUGGAUGCCACCAACAGAGAGUGGUGGUGGGGCCGGGUCGCCGAUGGCGAGGGCUGGUUUCCAGCCAGCUUCGUUCGGCUGAGGGUGAAUCAGGACGAGCCCACGGAUGACGACGCCCCUCGGGCCGGGAACAGCGGAGCGGAGGACGGCGGGGCGGAGGCGCAGAGCAGCAAGGACCAGAUGCGGACCAACGUCAUCAACGAGAUCCUCAGCACUGAGCGGGACUACAUCAAGCACCUGCGCGACAUCUGCGAGGUGAGGCCCGGCCGGCGGGCGGUGACUGGGGACCCGGUCGGGGGAGGCCUAACCACGUCCGCCCGCAGGGCUACGUCCGGCAGUGCCGCAAGCGCGCAGACAUGUUCAGCGAGGAGCAGCUGCGUACCAUCUUCGGGAACAUCGAGGACAUCUACCGCUGCCAGAAGGCCUUCGUGAAGGCCCUGGAGCAGAGGUUCAACCGCGAGCGCCCACACCUGAGCGAGCUGGGUGCCUGCUUCCUGGAGCAUCAAGCCGACUUCCAGAUCUACUCGGAGUACUGCAAUAACCACCCCAA